GAAACAAACAGCCCAUUCAGCUCAGCUAUUUUUAUUCUUACAUGUGAUUAUCUCUAUGUAUGUGUGACAGACCUGGUUCUUGGCCUGAGUCCAUAGCAAGAGAGGAUCAACUCCUUUAGGAAACGAGUUCAUAUAAAUAAAGACAGGUCCAAACACUUUCUUCCAUGCUUCACCUUCUUCAAAACUCAUGAUGAGUUCUGCUCCAACAUAAAAAAACCUAUGCUCACCGCGAGGUUGGUUGGACCGACAUGGGAGCCUAGGAACUGCUUGAGAGGACCAGCAGAUCGGAACUCGUUGCUCGGAGUGAUUUGCCAGAAACCAACCGAGUCAUUUGUGCUUAUCCAUCCAUGAACUUUUAUGUCUUUACUCUCCAUUGAGUAUUCAUACUUGUCAUCCACCUGUAAGGUCAGAAUCAAGAUUAAUAAUCCUCUGUUUCCUCUGAUUUUA